rnacentral:rRNA from 1 species
ACGUAGGGGGCAAGCGUUAUCCGGAUUUACUGGGUGUAAAGGGAGCGUAGACGGCACGGCAAGCCAGAUGUGAAAGCGCGGGGCUCAACCCCGGGACUGCAUUUGGAACUGCUGAGCUAGAGUGUCGGAGAGGCAAGUGGAAUUCCUAGUGUAGCGGUGAAAUGCGUAGAUAUUAGGAGGAACACCAGUGGCGAAGGCGGCUUGCUGGACGAUGACUGACGUUGAGGCUCGAAAGCGUGGGGAGCAAACAG